AAUGAAAAUAUUCUCGGAAAAAUAAUAAUAAUAAUAAUAAUAUGGGUAAAGCCGAUAAAAUUAUUUGGUUGUCGGUCGAAAAAGUUUGGUGAAGACAAUGUCCCUGGCUUCCCAUUAUUUUUUCAUUUCUAAAGCCGGAAGAUUUCCUCCAAUUAUUGGGCCACCACCUGUUUUUCUUAAUAUUUUGCCAUUCUUCUCCGAGUCCGAGAUAACCACUACGGUUAUAAUAUAUAUAUAUUUAACUAUUUCUUUACCGACCUAAAUUUAUCACCACCAGUCUGGCCAGUUGGAUAAAAGAAAUGUCAAAUUUUCACCCGAGUCCCGUUUAAAUUAACUGUACGAAACGGCGCUGUCCAUUGAAUUUUCCCUUUUCACUCGGAGAAUAAACGUCGCGUCGGUUGCUUCGAAAUCUAUUGGAAUUUAUCGGCCAAUUUUUAUACUUAAAAUACGAAAAAUUUGGCGAAUCUUUAUAAUGGUGAUGCGGUGUUCCAUAUAUACUUCUUUGCUCUUUGGCCAUUUUCAAAUUUUAUUAGCUACCGAAGAGGCGCGUGAUAAAAAUGCCCGAUAAUUAUAUAAAAUGCCUACGGUUUACUUACUUUUCUGCCGCCUUGGGUGCACCGCCGAAUUUAAAAUGUCACUCGAAACAUCGCGUCAGCCCCGACCGUCUUUCACCCAAACUGUUUCGUCCGAUUUUCUGGUAGUCGUUUUCGGAUGUUGGCUGAUAAAAUCCUUCGUCGUUUCCGAUUGUUUGGUCGAAGCUCGUCUCCCCGCCAUCUUCGAUAACGAAACGUAAUUUAAAUUCGUACGUGGAUUGUCUAAAAUCACCGGAAGUCCGGCUAUCUCCCGUCCGAACAAGUGGCCUACUGGCGUGGGUCCAAAUCCGAAUUCGGAAUUAGCGAUGAAGUAAUAGCAUUCGGAAUCUCCCGGGCUCGGAAUGGCAGUCCCAGUCAUUUUCGACUGUCCACCUGGGUGAUGGCGGGGUAGAUCCAACGCGUUUUCUUGUCCAGCUUGGGAAUUCAACCCCCGGGAAAACGAGUCUUCCUUACGGGAUAUCUUUUCUUUUUCUUUAACGCCACUUUCCAUUCGGGAAGAAUACCAAGUGGCGGGGCGAAACAAGCUCUUCCACAGGCUGCCCACCUCGCGGA
rnacentral:lncRNA from 1 species